rnacentral:rRNA from 1 species
AUGAACGCUAGCGGCAGGCCUAAUACAUGCAAGUCGAACGGUAAGUGUUAUAGCAAUAUGACACCAAGAGUGACGUACGGGUGCGUAACACGUAUGCAACCUACCCUUUACAGGCGGAUAGCUCGGGGAAACUCGAAUUAACCCGCCAUAAUAUAAUUGAAUGGCAUCAUUUGAUUAUUAAAUCUUAGGAGGUAAAGGAUGGGCAUGCGUCUGAUUAGUUAGUUGGUAGUGUAACGGACUACCAAGACGAUGAUCAGUAGGGGAACUGAGAGGUUGAUCCCCCACACUGGCACUGAGAUACGGGCCAGACUCCUACGGGAGGCAGCAGUAGGGAAUAUUGGUCAAUGGGUGAGAGCCUGAACCAGCCAUGCCGCGUGCAGGAAGAAGGCCUUCUGGGUUGUAAACUGCUUUUGCCAGGGGAUAAAAAUACCUUGCGAGGUAAAUUGAAGGUACCUGGUGAAUAAGCCACGGCUAACUACGU